UACAGAGGGUGCAAGCGUUGUUCGGAAUUAUUGGGCGUAAAGCGCGUGUAGGCGGCUUUGCAAGUCGGGUGUGAAAGCCCUCGGCUCAACCGAGGAAGUGCGCCCGAAACUGCAGAGCUUGAGUGCCGGAGAGGAUGGCGGAAUUCCCCAAGUAGAGGUGAAAUUCGUAGAUAUGGGGAGGAACACCGGUGGCGAAGGCGGCCAUCUGGACGGUGACUGACGCUGAGACGCGAAAAGCGUGGGGAGCAAACAGGG
rnacentral:rRNA from 1 species